CACCCGGUUUCAACUUUCACACGCCCCCCUUCAUCCUUCAUCUUCACGAGUCGAAGCCCUCUGCUCAGGCCAGUUGACCAGACGAAGAUGAACCCGCGAACCACGACCCUCGGGCCUUCGACCACGACCUCAACUCGACCCCGCGACCCUCGAGCUCUCGAUCCUCGAGCCGUCGACCUCGAGGUCUCUGCUUCUCUCUGUGCCUCCAAAAUCGAAGGAGAAAGUACAGAUCUUUCUCUCUUUGCGACCUCAGAUCACUUGCCGGCGGCAGAUUGGCUUAGUUUUAUCGAAUUUUGCUUUCUUGUCUGGCAUUGGAGAUUGUGGGCAGAAUUUAGUAAGUUGGAAGCCAUAGCGCUACUGGUCAAAGGAAUCGGGAGAGGGGAGGCAAUCUUACGCUGCCUUGUGCUACUACUCAAAACAGCUCGACUCUAAUACUUUAUGGAAAACAUUCUGAUAUAUGGAGACUUGUGUCUUUGAUGGAGGAUUACAAGUCAGAAAUUGAGAAUUGGGAGUUAGGUGCAGGGAUUUACAUUUCAUUUUACUCGAUAAAAAGCUCUUUCCUCGACGAGGAAAGCAGGAUGGGUGAACCUGUAUAAUUUGGAUGAGUGUUUGACAAUGUUGAAUUGAAAUCUAAGUCUGUAUAUUCCUUCGGUUCUUUUUGCCCAUAUCUGACUUCGAUGUUGAUUUUCAUACUC